GAGUUUCUCAUCUCACUUGUGAAUAUAUCAUAGUCCUGUUUUGCUUUUGGUGGAUUAGUUACUAAGCCCAUCCUUUGAACUUUCUGGAGAGCCCAAGAAUGAUGCACCUUUUAACCACCAGGAGGCAACAAUUACCCCAAGGAACUAAGUGAGCAUCAGGAAUAUUCUUAAUGCAGGAAUACUCUUCAUCGAGGCUCUACAGUGUUCAGUGUUUGCUAUUUCAGUCUCAGGCUGGUUUUGAAAAAUGCCGAGGGCUCUGGAUAUUUACUAGAUUUAGCUGAAAGGACAGCAGCUAUUAAGUAUUAAUUACCACUGACCCAAAUCAAAAGAACAACCCAAACAUACUCUGCUCUAAAGUUUGUUAUUUUUAUUCAUGUAGGUGCCUUGCUUGCAUGUAUGUAUAGGCCCAGUAAAGCGAUGGUACUAUGGUUUCUGGAAUUGGAAUCACAGUUGGUUGUGAACCACCAUGUGGGUGCUGGGAUUUGAACCUGGGUCAUCCAGCCUCACUCUAGAGGUCUCACUACUGCCCAGACUUCCUGGGCUAAAGCAGUCUUCUUGUCUUAGUCUCUUUAGUAGCUAGGACCACAGAUGCAUGCCAGCACCAGUUCACCAUCAGCAUUAAGGAACCUCAAGAUGGAGCAGCUAAAGUCCUGUUGUCUCCAACUUCUGCAGUCUGGAUCGUCUGUAUUAUAGAUCAGAUGUGCAUCUAAGUGCAUGUGUAGGUUUGUGUGUGUGUGGUGUCCCAUUCAUAUCACACACAUUAUGAACACAUUGAACUGUGAACCCAAAGCUCCCAUAAUUAAUGUCAAGAAAGAUAAUGAGGACGUGUGAUUUUUAUAAAAAUACAUACCUGUGUGAGGCCAAUCCUUUGCAUACAACCCUUUGUUCAUGGCUCUCCCAAACCCCAUCCUUGCACACUUAAUGCUUACUCCAAUUGGAUUUUCAAGGUCAUAGAAAUUUAGCAGUUAAAGUCUUCUACAACUUUCUAAAUGUUAGUGAUCUGAAAAUACUCUUGCUGUUAAACUUAAAAAUCAAUGAGCUAAGAAUAAAAUUCCUUAUCUGUAAGCUGGAGCCUGCCCUCCCUCAUAAGCAAUCCCAGUUGGUUGUAAGGUCUCUAGCCCACAGGAAGAAAAUACUACAAAUGUGAAACUUGCAGUCAACCCCCUCCAUCUUUUUAAAUUUUUUUUUUUUUUUUUUUUAAGAUUCAACAUGCAUUCUUUUCUGUUUGUUUUUCGAAGUCCUGGCUGUCCUGGAACUCACUCUGUACUCAGAAAUCCGCCUGCCUUUGCCUCCUGAGUGCUGGGAUUAAAGGCGUGAGCCACCACUGUCCGGCUUCAACAUGCAUUCUGAAUAAAAGCCCUAGAACAAGUAGGACUGUAGGAAACAUAUUCCAACAUAAUAAAGGUUAUGUAUGACAAACUCAUGGCCAAUAUCCUAAAUGAAUAAAACCAUUAAUAAGCCCCAUUAAAAUCAGGAAUGGGAGAGGACACCCAACACCCUGUCUAAGCUUGUGCUUAGGCUCCUUGCUGGUUUCCUUAGUUGAAAACAAAGUGUCCAAGAAGUCAGAAACCAUACCUUCUCAUCAGCAAAACAGACCAACAAAAACUCCUACACAAACCAACGUUAAGGACAACAUUUUAUUGCUACCAGAGGCUUUAUCAGCAGUACAUGGUUCUGACUGCAGUGCCUUCAGACUGCAAAGGGAGCUCAGGGUCCAGACAUUGCUCAGAGAGAAACAAGGGAAUAAUUCCUUAUCAAGAAAAUCCUAAUGGCAUAAUAUGAAACUAGGGUAAUGAAUUAAAUUAUAAGUUACAGACUCAAAUCAGGGCUGCCCCAGUAUCUAGACAGUUGCUUCUACGGAUUAUAAAUGAGCAAGAACAGAUCAGUUACAAAAAUCUACGUGUAUAUUACAUACAUGUUUCUUUGGUGAGCACCUGGAUAUAUUAACCUUAUCAGAAAUUCUUUUAUAUAAAUGUCAAAAAUGCUUAAAAUGUCCUAAUUACGUGCCAUUUUAUUGAGCUUCAAG
rnacentral:lncRNA from 1 species